rnacentral:snRNA from 1 species
AUCCAUUCUGGCCUUUGGCUUAGAUCAAGUGUAGUACCUGUUCUUACCAGUGUACUAAUUGCUGGUAUUGGUUCAUCGGACCAACCAAUCAUUACUCUCAUCUUUGACCUGCCCCCCGUCAUACCCUGCCUCGCCAGCGUGGCAGGGACGAUGGCCUUGGGCUCCCACUGCUCCCUUGUGCUGUCAGGCAUU